rnacentral:rRNA from 1 species
GGCGGCGCGCAUAACACAUGCAAGUCGAGCGAGGGCUUACCUCUCGCAAGAGAGAUAAGUUCCUAGCGGCGAACGGGUGAGUAACACGUGGGCAACCUUUCCUAUCGCGGGGGAUAACAGCGGGAAACCGCUGCUAAUACCGCAUGUCGUCACUGGUCGCAUGGCUGGUGAAGAAAGCAGCAAUGCACGAUGGGGUGGGCCCGCGGCCUAUCAGCUAGUCGGUGGGGUAACGGCCUACCGAGGCGAUGACGGGUAGCUGGUCUGAGAGGACGGCCAGCCACACGGGGACUGAGACACGGCCCCGACUCCUACGGGAGGCAGCAGUGAGGAAUCUUCCGCAAUGGGCGAAAGCCUGACGGAGCGACGCCGCGUGUGCGAUGAAGUCCUUCGGGAUGUAAAGCACUGUCGGAGGGGAAGACAAAAAAGACGGUACCCUCCAAGAAAGCCCCGGCUAACUACGUGCCAGCAGCCGCGGUAAUACGUAGGGGGCAAGCGUUAUCCAGAUUUACUGGGCGUAAAGCGCGUGU